rnacentral:lncRNA from 1 species
AAUCGAGACUCCGCCCCCAAACCGGGACCCCCCGGUCCAUUCAACCCCGACCCCCCCCCACCCCCGGGACCCCCCAAGACCCCCCGGGACCGCCCCCCGUGCCCGCCCCUCCCCUCACCGUCACCCCCGGCCCCAUCGCGCCCCGGAAGCGCUCGGGAGCCACGUGACCGCCGCGCACGUGACAUGGUUUCCCGCCAAAUCCCGCCCCUGGCCGCGCCUCCUCAGAGGCCACGCCUCUUUUGUGGCGCGUCACCUCGGGACUACGACUCCCGUCAUGCCCCGCGGCGCAGCCGCCAUGACACUUCCGGGAGAGGCGCUGAGGGCUCCGAUGGGACCCGCUGCCUCUUCUGCCGUUGUCGCUGUUUUUUCCUAAUUUUGGCCGUUUAGCGAUCCCGUAGAGCCCGACGGAAAGCACGGCCUGAGGUAAACGCUGGGCCUCCCGGUGCUGAGGGCGUUUCGUUCCCCGGUUUCAUUCCCCACGUUUCAUUCCCCGCUUAAACCGGCCCGUUCUCACUCUCACGGCGCCAAUUACCCCACCGCGACAGCGCUAAUCAGGGAGGAACGCAGUGAAAACAGCCCGGCUUUGCGUGACGUCGCGAAGACCGUCAGCCGUUAUGGACUACAUCUCCCGGCUGCCCUCGCGGCACGCGGCGCACUCAUCGCUCGCGCUGAUCGACAGCUGCCUCAGCCAAUGGCGUUGCGCCAGCUCCCCACGCGGCCCCGCCCUCCACACCUCCCCUCAGGAAGCGCUGAUAGACGCACGGAACAACCAAUCACACGACGGGGAGGCGGGGCUUACGCAGAGCGACGCGUGAAUUACCCAAUCACCGCGCGACGGCUGAGAGUAUUAACCAAUAGGAGCUAAGAGGCGGGACUUACGCAGCCGGCCCCGCCCGCCGCCGAGGCGGGUAGCAACAGUUGCCCCGCCGUCGCCAUGGCGACGCAACCCUCCUACGUCACCGAGCUGACGGCGACGACGUCACAGCAGCAGCAGCCGCCUCCCUCCGCCCCGCCCCCCGCAGGCACCGCCCCUUUUGGGGCGGAGCUUACGGGAGGCUCCGCCCCCGGCGCGCCGGCCACGCCCGCGCCCCCUCCCCAACAAUUCAUCGUGGUCACCGUGGCCGCUGAGGGGCUGCGACCCCCGGAGGGCACCGAGGGCAGCCCCCCCCCCGCGCCCCCCCAGGCCGGGCCCAGCCCUGGGGGGCAGCAGGUGGGGAGAAAAUGGGGGGAAAAUGGGGAAAUUGGGAAAAAAUGGGGGGAAAAUGAGGAAAUUGGGAAAAAAUGGGGAAAUUGGGAAAAAAUGGGGAAUAAAUGGGGAAAUUGGGAAAAAAUGGGGGGGAAAUGGGGAAAUUGGGAAAAAAU